GUGUUUUAGAAUAUUGAAAUAAUUAUUAAUUAUUCGAAGUAAAUGUGCAUUGUUGUUUAAAAGCAUCGUAGAUACACCGUCUCCCUCGAAAUUUACCUUCAGACUGACACGUUGUUGUCUUCUAUGAAAAUUUUUUUUAUUAAACAUUGUUUAUAUGACUUUCCAAACGUUGCGCAUGAGCAUAACACAUUUAUUACAAUAUAACUUGAUUAUAUUAUAUACUGUAUUCGCUUGAAGUUGCAACUAUCGCCUGCUGGUGAUCCCGGUGAUAACUAAGAAGAUGUUGGUUACACGAAAAGUAGACUUGUGAGCUUCUAUGUACUACAGCUGUAUUCUUUAAACAUAUCCAUGUGGUAUAUCUAAAGGUAACCGAGUUGGGGUUGUUCGCCGCGUCAAUAAUGGCGGUUUCCGGCGGCACGGCUAUCAAAGGAUAUAGAUAUGGAUAUAGACAUAGAGUCGACCGACUGCUAAACUGUGAUACAAGUCUGUGAACGCAACACGGAUAUAUCUUGAAAUAUUCGUCAAGGCAAUCGUUAUAUAUCACGUUUUUGCGAAGAGAAACGUGUUAGACAGACCUAAAGUUAGACAAUCAAAAACGUUUCUACGUUUCGUGGGAUGUGGUUCUUCCGCAUUUGUGAAUAGUCAAACAAUUUUCGAUGCGAGACGUAUGUAGUGUUUCUCAAAUGGAGUUGACUGUACAAUCGUGACUUUCGGCUUCGAACAGACUGACUGCAGUUUACACAACAUCUCAGAUUAAGUUUUUAACUGUUCCAUUUAAACGUGCGAUCCUUCCAUCAAAAUUACCAUAUCAUGGCCUCAUCAAAUAGAGGUAUUCAAAUUGGUUCGGCCUGGUAUCAAACUAAUAUUAAGCUAAGACCACAACAUCGUGGCAUACAUCUUGUUACCGAAGAAAUUUUAAAACAAAUUCCAGAACUAUAUCAGUUCUCUGUUGGUCUUUGCCAUAUACAGAUUCUUCAUACAUCAGCUAGUUUAGCAUUAAAUGAAAGCUGGGAUCCUGAUGUAAGAGAUGAUAUAGAAAUGAUGCUUAACAAAAUAAUUCCUGAAGGAUUAGACUAUAGACAUGAUUGCGAAGGUCCAGACGACAUGCCGGCUCAUGUAAAAGCAUGCUUUUUGGGAUCUUCAUUAAGCAUUGCAAUUACGAAUGGAAAGUUAGCUCUUGGUACAUGGCAAGGUAUUUGGUUUUGCGAACAUCGUGAUAAUGCAGGAAGUCGCAAAUUAAUCAUAACGUUGACCGGUUGUCUCAGGGAUUCAGCACGUACCCCUUUAAGUCCCGUCAGCCCUAUUGCUUCUACCAGCAGCUAGGACCAAUCACACCCCCAAAGGUGUGGCAAACGUCAGCUGCACAUAUCUACUUCUAGUAAUUUAAGCUAGCAGCUGCUUAAUUAAGAGUAGAAUCGAAGGAAGAAAUAAGGUACAAUCGAAAUGAAAUAUUGGGAUUUAUUAGCAACAAUAUCCCUUUGAGGAAGAUGUCUGGAUACACUACUUGGAACCUUAGUUCUUCCUCGCUUGUAUCAAACCCACCGAAUACUGUCGCAAAUAACGUUUGUCCCGAUAUCCAGUCAAGUCGAGUUGGCGAGUUUUCUGCAUUCGAGUCCGCAUUCGAGUCCGCAUUCGAGUCCGCAUUCGAGUCCGCAUAGAGAGGCACGCACAUAUUUCAAUGAUCAUACGUACAUGUAAUUAUUUGUGUUUAAUGUGAAAGUAAGAGUCGGUGCAUCAAAAGAGUAUCAUUGAAUUCAUUUAAUAAAAUUAAACAAGGUACAAAAGACAAAGUUGAAUGUUUAAUCUAGUAAUGAUAAAUUUGUGCAAUUGAUUGUGCAAUAGAUUGUGCAAUAAAGUGUUCCAUAAGAAAAGAAUCAUGAGAAAUAUAAGUUAUAUAUACUUUAGA
rnacentral:misc_RNA from 1 species